rnacentral:rRNA from 1 species
GAUGAACGCUGGCGGCGUGCCUAAUACAUGCAAGUCGAGCGAACAGACGAGGAGCUUGCUCCUCUGACGUUAGCGGCGGACGGGUGAGUAACACGUGGAUAACCUACCUAUAAGACUGGGAUAACUUCGGGAAACCGGAGCUAAUACCGGAUAAUAUAUUGAACCGCAUGGUUAAAUAGUGAAAGACGGUUUUGCUGUCACUUAUAGAUGGAUCCGCGCCGCAUUAGCUAGUUGGUAAGGUAACGGCUUACCAAGGCAACGAUGCGUAGCCGACCUGAGAGGGUGAUCGGCCACACUGGAACUGAGACCCGCUCCCGCCCCCUACGGGAGGCAGCAGUAGCGAAUCUUCCGCAAUGGGCGAAAGCCUGACGGAGCAACGCCCCGUGAGUGAUGAAGGUCUUCGGAUCGUAAACCUCUGUUAUUCGGGAAGAACACAUGUGUAAGUAACUAUGCACGUCUUGACGGUACCUAAUCAGAAAGCCACGGCUAACUACGUG